rnacentral:rRNA from 1 species
GACGAACGCUGGCGGCGUGCUUAACACAUGCAAGUCGAACGGAAAGGCCCUGCUUUUGUGGGGUGCUCGAGUGGCGAACGGGUGAGUAACACGUGAGUAACCUGCCCUUGACUUUGGGAUAACUUCAGGAAACUGGGGCUAAUACCGGAUAGGAGCUCCUGCUGCAUGGUGGGGGUUGGAAAGUUUCGGCGGUUGGGGAUGGACUCGCGGCUUAUCAGCUUGUUGGUGGGGUAGUGGCUUACCAAGGCUUUGACGGGUAGCCGGCCUGAGAGGGUGACCGGCCACAUGGGGACUGAGAUACGGCCCAGACUCCUACGGGAGGCAGCAGUGGGGAAUAUUGCACAAUGGGCGGAAGCCUGAUGCAGCAACGCCGCGUGCGGGAUGACGGCCUUCGGGUUGUAAACCGCUUUCGCCUGUGACGAAGCGUGAGUGACGGUAAUGGGUAAAGAAGCACCGGCUAACUACGG